GAAGAAUGUGCUACACAAUGAAAAGUUAGUUUUAUUUUCUUAUGAAUGUUGGCUGCCCUAUUGCGUUUAGUAAAGUUGCUUGGUGUGGUAAUGGAUUGGUGUUUAUUACAUAUAAAAAGUGUAAAACGUUUUGGCUACUUAAACAACUACUGAUGAAAUUGAUAAACAAUUUACAUUCAUUAGAUUCUAGUCAAUAUUGUGUUAUUAAUUGUACAAUGACAUAGGUCAUUUGUAUGGUAGUGAUUGCUUGUUUAUAUUAAGCUAACCUAUAAAACUAUGGAUAUUCCAACUCCUUCGAAUGUAAAUCACGGAUUUUCUCAGAAUACGGAUGGAUUUUUAAACAUACCUAUUGAAUCUGCAAACUUGGAUCCAUUGUCUACAAAACGUAGAAGCUCUUCACGUACAAUAAAACGCAGAAAAUUUGAUGAUGAACUUGUUGAAACAACAUUUAACUUACAACCUCCAGCUGCGAGUACAAAAUCUGCCUCUAGAUCUAGAACUGUUUCAAUUUCUACUACUCCAAUGGAAUCAGCUGUCCCUCAGCAAAAUGUCCCAAGCCCUAUUCAAGUUUCUGCAAAUGUUUCUCAAUCGGAUAGAUGUAAUCGACGGACAAGUAGACCAGGUGGAUCAAAUGCUCCUGGAAGAAAAAACAAAAAGAGUAAAAAUCAUUCGCAUUCAGUGAAUGCUACAAAGGAUUUAGGAAGAUGGAAACCAACAGACGAUCUUGCAUUAAUCACUGGUGUACAACAGACAAAUGACUUAAGAAUGGUUCACAGAGGUACAAAAUUCUCUUGUCGUUUUACAUUGCAAGAGAUACAGCAAAGGUGGUAUGCACUGCUAUAUGACAGUGCAGUCUCAAGAGUAGCAGUACAAGCUAUGCGUAAUUUACAUCCAGAAUUAAUUGCCAGUGUGCAAGCCAGAACUUUGUAUAGUAAAGCAGAAGAAGAUCUCCUUGGUACAAUAAAAUCGACUCCUCAACCAACAUUGGAAGUGUUUCAAGAACUUCUUGAAGCAAAUGCCCACACAUUCUAUUCUGCAAGAACUGCUAAAGCUUUAUUAGCACAUUGGCAAUUAAUGAAACAGUAUCAUUUACUUCCUGAUCAAACUGUACAAAGUUUACCAAGAGGUGAACAUGUUCUCAACUUUUCCGACGCGGAAGAAAUGAUUAACGAUACAGAAUUGAUCGAACAAAAAGAUGAGUUAGUAGAUGCAGAACUUAUUGCAGCGGACAGAAGAAAUAAAAGAGAGAUAAGAGUGUUAGAAAAUGAAUUAAGCAGGUGGCAGGUUCUGGUUGAUAGUGUAACAGGAGUAAAUCCACCAGAUUUUGAUAAUCAAACUUUAGCAAUACUUAGAGGAAGACUUGUUAGAUAUCUGAUGCGAUCGCGGGAGAUUACUGUAGGUCGUUCAACGAAAGAUCACAGUGUUGAUGUAGACUUGACAUUGGAAGGACCGGCAUGGAAAGUUUCACGAAGACAAGGAACUAUACGUUUAAGAAAUAAUGGAGAUUUCUUUCUUUCUUCGGAAGGGAAGCGACCAAUUUUUGUCGAUAGCAGACCUAUUCUUGCUGGAAAUAAAAUGAAACUUAACAAUAAUAGCGUAAUCGAGAUUGCAGGGCUCAGAUUUAUAUUUUUAAUAAAUCAGGAACUCAUUUCUGUCAUACGUCAGGAAGUAGUUAAAUUGAAUCUAAAACCAUGAAUAUUUCAUCUCAUUCCUUAAUUAGCACUUCUUUUAUAAGUGUAUACAGAACUCUGUAUAAAGCACGUAAUUGUUCAAUUCAGAAGAAGAAAACACUGAAUGUUUAUAUGUAAUGUUUAUACCUAAGUAAGUACAAUUACAACUAAUACUAGUAAAUAUGAUAUUUAAUCUUUAAAACUUUGUAGAACAUAUUUAACUGUAAAAUACUACAUGAAAAUAAACAUAAAGAAAAAGGUAGGAAUUACUUCUGAUGUUUAAAAUUUGCGAAUAGGAUUUAUUUAAAAAUAAUGAGAGAUUAAAUCACAAAAUACAUAAUUAUAUCGAGGGUAAUGAAAGUACAAAAAUUGUAGUACAAUUUUAGAACGUAGAAUGUGAAGCUUUAUCCGUCUUUCACCACCAUCCACCGUUCCAUACUCAUCCUCUCCAGCCCCAACCACCUCUCCAUCCGUAACGCCAUGGUCUCGAGUACCUUGAGAUAUCAUUAAAUAAUGAAUAAAUUUUUGUUAAAAUUGAAACAUAUUUAACACUACAAUCGGGAAUCUCAAAACCCCCUUAAUUACGGGAAGAUUGGUACGGUUCUGGGCUCACCCCCCACCACUUCAUCGGCGCGCGCAGCGCACCUAACGAAUGAUCAGUAAAUCAGUAUACGCUCGGCUCUCGGUGCGUACGGACAUAAGUGAGCGAGUAUAAAAAUAUCAUCCACUUAUGCUUUUGAAAUCAAACAAAGAACCUCUUUUUAAUAACAUAAAUUAAAUUACUUAACUUACCCCCAAUAGGAUGCAUCAGCAUCUAAAUCAUUAGCGUCACUUAAAGAUGGUUCACCUUCUGUGUUAACAGGUUCCGAAGGAUCUUUUGAGGCGGCCACCAAGACCACCACUGCCAAGAGAAAAAGAACCUACACACAGAAAAGGUUGAAUUUGAAUUAGCCGUAAUUAGAAACAUUUUUAUUUUCUAUUUAAUUAUUCCAUUUAAUGAUUAUAAUUUGCGGUGUUUAUCACUAAUGACUAUCAAAAUAUUCAACGCAUUAAGUUUAAAAGAAGAAAAUUAAAUAUUCGAAACGUCCGGAACACCCCUUCAGAUUAUUUAAAUAAACUUACAAUUAGUAGAUUUACUUACCAAGCGUAGUGAUCGCGGCAUAUUGGGAACUGACUAAGAUGCGUCGGUCAGGACCGGCUUUAUAUAUAUACCUUCAAGCGCGAAAAACUAUGGAAAGAUCCGAGGAUAUAUGUAUAAAAAAAGGAAUAGGAUGACACAAAAAAAGUUGAAAUACUUUGUCAGGUGAUUUACGCUUAAAUCAUUUAGAACGUAUUCAAAUUUAAUUCCUUCUAAAAAGUAUGUUCUUUAGGUUUGUCAAUGUAAAAUUAUUUUAUAUAUUAAAUAAAAUAAAGUUAAUUAUUUAAUUAUUCAGAUAAUCGUUUGAAGUUAGUAACAUUUGAAUUCGUAGAAGCGCGGGAAAUUAUUCAAAUUUAAAAUAGUAAUUAACAACAUUGACGAACAUGAAUAAAUUGUAUUUUUCAAAUUCAUUACAAAGAAAGUUAGGGUCAAUAUAUUUAGCGAAUACGCAUCAGUUUUCAAGGUAGGCUGGUUGCAUUCCAUUUCUUCUGAAGCACAGCUUACUCUUCCUUUUCUGAAGAAGGGAUAACUAUAUUUGUUUUUUUUUUACAAGAUAACUCUGAGCACCGUCAUUGCUGUAAACAUUAAACGUUGCAGGCGCGUUUUAUAAAACUGAAUUUGUAAAUAAUAAAUAUUUAUGGCACUUAAA